UACGGAGGGUGCAAGCGUUGUUCGGAAUCAUUGGGCGUAAAGCGCACGUAGGCGGGUUUGUAAGUUGAUUGUGAAAAUCCCAGGGCUCAACCUUGGAAUUGCAGUCAAAACUGCAGAUCUUGAAUACUUGAGAGGGUGGGAGAAUUCCUGGUGGAGAAGUGAAAUUCGUAGAGAUCAGGAGGAAUACCGGAGGCGAAGGCGCCUGCCUGGCAAGAUAUUGACGCUGAGGUGCGAAAGCGUGGGUAGCAAACAGG
rnacentral:rRNA from 1 species